rnacentral:lncRNA from 1 species
UAGGAUUUUGUCUGCAAUAGAUACAUAAGAAACAACAUUUGGAAGGUGCUGAAGAUAUGGGACAAGCACACUAUGGUAGAGGAGAGGUAAGGAGUUGACUUGGUUUUUAUUAUUUGAAAGGUAUCCUUCACAGAUGCAGAUACAUAAUUUCGAUCGAUCGAGAGAUCGAUCGAGAGAGAGAGAGAGAGAGAGAGGCACAAACUAGUCAGCACUUCUGUAAUGACUUGAGUUAUCAUUGAUAUGUUCAUAAUAAUAAAUUACCUUUUAACAAAACUUUGAAUUUUUGAAAUACUAAGGCUUUUAUACCUUAGGAAUAGAUUACCUUAGCUGCAUUUGGCGAAACUGUUUGAAAUUUUUGGUCCUCAAUGCUUUUCAAUUUCGUACUUUAUUUGGCUUUUCAAACAUUUUUUUAUUCAAGCGUCACUGAUGAGUCUUUUGUAAACAAAGCAUGCGUCUGGCGUACAUGUAAAAUUUUAAUCCUGGUAUCUAUGAUGAGUUUAUUUGAGUGUAAAUUCCAAACACCCCAUAUAUGUAGCUCCAUAAAUUCAUAUCUGACUUAAAGACGUUUGAUACUAACUAUUGCUAUCGUCUUCGCCUCGUGUAAUAGUAGGUAUUUCAGGGACAAAAAACUUGCUAGUACCCUCAUAACCAGUCAUUAGGUAUAUAAAUGAUCAAUGGUCAAAGUUUUUGUUCCUGCUCUUCAUCUUGAUAGUUGCCGGAUGGUCUUCAACAAUACUUUUAAAGAAUCAUUAAUACCAUAAAAGAUCGUAAAACAAGGUGAAGAUGAUCCCUAGUGUGGACUUAAGCAGUACUAGUACUUAAAGUAUAAUACUGCAAUGUCACUAUAUUUAAAUCUAGUCAUAAAAAAAAUCACCAAAGUCUAAUCACAAUACAAGAGACAGACAGACAGAUACGGUAUUAAUAAUUAUGAGAAUAACGAUUUUUGCUUUAUCCUACAUAUCGGUCUUUUAAUGUUUUCUCUAAUACCUAAAAGUCUUAAAUUUACAAUGAAUCUUUGUUUUUGCUUUGGGACCUGAUUGUCAAAACCCCAAAAAUUAAUUAAGCCGUUUCAAUGCAAGAAAGAGUCUGGGAAACGCUCAGAAUGCACGAUUUUGCAUUAUUUUUCUCAGAGCUUCUUGGGGCCUUCAGCGGCCCCUAGACCCCUCGCUUCGCUGGGCGAAUAAAUUUGGCCUCACUAUUAAAAGAGGCUAGUUACGGCCCUAUUAUAGAUAUUUCAAGCGUACAUACAGUAUAUAAAGUCAAGAUGUUUAAAUGAGACUAUGGAAUAAACAAGUUCGCGUGGACAAAAAUGUUAGUGAAGCCAAAUUCAUAAUGAAAACAAUUAUAUAAAUAACGAAUUUUUUCCCUAAAUGCGUACAUGGAAUAAAUAGCCCGAACUCAAUAUUUUGCUAAUCACUAUUUGUGAAACUAAUCACCAAUUUGUUUUAAGUAUUAUGCCCAGUAAACACACUUUUCACCCAUAAAUAUAGCGUUUUAACAUACUUGUUUAAAAUGUAAACUUUUCUUUAAAAAAUCACAAACAAGUCGGUAUUCACCCCGAAAUCUAACCAAAGCUUUGAACAGACGUAUUUAGAAGGGUUAUAGUUACAAUACUGUUGUAAGGUAAUUAAGGAUUGCAUAUUUUCGUAUCAAUAUUGAUGCACUCAUACGGUUUUUGCAUUGGAAAUAAACACAAUUAAUCUAAAAAAACAGUUUUUAGCAUGAUACGGGUUAUGUUCUUCUUAUAUGUUUUAUGAUAGUAUGAAACUAAAUCACUGGAUUAUAAACGGGAGGAAUUAUGGUUGAUGUUCAUAUGGUGAAGAUAUAAUCGUUCAAUCAGUUGAUGUCUGGAGCUGGCAGGUCAAUAACUAGAGGCUAGAGGUAUAGGGGAGGGUUGAUACUAACAAAACAUGUUAAACCCCUCCGUAUUUUUGCACUAGUCUCAAGUCAGGAGCCUCUAGACUGUGAUAGUCUUGUAUGUUUUUUAAAUUUUAGUUUAGUAAAAUGUUUUAAAGAUUAGUUUGACGUCUAUAUUCACUGAACUGGUACACAUUUUACUGAGCGACCCGCUAAGGCACACCCCCAGGUGUGGAAUGUCUUUGACAAUACAAAUUAAUAGACAUGCAUCAGGUACUAUAAUCAAUAAUUCUUGCAAAAUACGGAGUUCUUCACAAUCUUACCAUUUGUACUUAUUUAUAACGGUUUUUGAAUAAAAAUUGAAGUGGCCGCCUUUGUGUUCAGUGUUAUUAUUUGAAUAUAUGUUGCAUUUAAUUAAUGAUACAAAACAUACAUAAAUGUUGAAACUGAGCACAAACGCCGACAUUUUCGUUUAGUAGACAUUAAAAAAACUUUCACCAGAUGUUCUUUGAAUUAUAUGCCGACAUAAGCCCUUUCCUGAACUUCUCCCUUUCACUAUAUGAUCUAAUAAACUAUGAAUUUAAAAAGCUAUUACAUCUCAAAACAAGCAACUUUCAAUUUAACUUAGAAAAUCUGUACAUAUCUGUUAAAAAUAGAUAUAAAAUUUGUGAAAAUUUUCACAUUGUCCCAAAGUCAUCUAAUGUAUGAUACAUUUCUAAAAAGUCUUUAAAUGCCAAAACCAUUUACUUUUAAUUUAACUUACUAGUAUUGGAUAUGUCUAAAAAUACAUCCUAUUAAAGGUAUUACAGGUACUAAAGGUAGUAAUAUCUAUAAAUAGCACUACGGGAAAUUUGAAUUAUAAAUACCCUCAAAUGGUAUAUAUAAAUUCCAAAUGAUUAUUUUUUUUUCAUUCACAUUCACAACUUUGAUUGAAGGUAAAUAACUUAAGUAACUUUUAUUCGAAUCUAUAAUCAUUACGAUUUUUCUAAAGAUUGGAAAAUAAUUAUUUAGACACAAACUAUGUAUAGUACUGCAUAAAAGCUUAAUAUUUCAACUUUUUCACAGCUGUUGAUAGGAUUGUUAAAUAAAUGGUUGAAAGUAUCAAACUAAUAAUCAUCAUUUUUUAAACCAAAAAUAGAAAGAAAAAAGAUGUGUUGUUUUUGUUAUUUUUACAUGAUUCUUAUAGUUUAAUUGGAUAAUAAUUGAUACUGACUUUGAAAUUAAUAAAUGGAAUUCUAUAUUUGUACAAAAAAGAUAUUGUCCAAAUUGAAGGGUACCAUUUAAGUACCGUUUUAAAAUGUCAGUUCGUGCCAGAACGACUAAUUUCAUGCAAAUGUGUUAUUUUUCUUUUAAGGUUUUGUUCAAUCGAAUAGAUACUAAUGGAUACACUUGGAAACUUUUUGGCCAGAAUUAAAGCCGCUGGAGAUUUGGCAAAUGCACUGGGAACAUCUGGCGAAGGAAAGGUAAGUAGUUUUAAUUUGGUUUAACUGUUUGCAAGACUUUCAAAGAAACAGAUGUGGGUCAAGAAUAAAAAAAAAUCAAUAAGGAAACGUUAGUAAUUGGUAUUGUUAAAGGUAUAUAAAUUAAACAUUAGCUUCAUAACUGUUGUUUUAUCAUUAAAAGCAUUGCCUUCUUUCAUUUGAUAGAUUGAUCGUGGUGAUGGAAAAAUGGUAAGCUGGUCAUUCAAAGGUCAGAUAGAUGGAUUUGAGUGGAAAUAUAAAGGUAAAUGUGUGGAUGAAACCACUGGAGAAACAGCAACUGCCACAAAACAAAGCAGAGGAGGUGCAAUUGAGCAUUCCAUGAAAGACCUGUUCCAGAAGUUGGCAUCAAUGAACGCAUUAUAACAUUUAUAUAUUUAGUUUUUACUCAGUACUACGUAUUAUAUAGCAAAGAGUAGACUUCCGGCCAUUUUUCAAUUUGUAUUUUGAUUUUAUAUACUUUAUUAAAUGUUGUGAAUCUUAUUAAACAUUUAGAUCUUUUAGUCAUAAUACUUGUAUUUGCAAAAUACACCCAUACGGGUCAAGCAAAAACAUAUACAAACAUAUAUAAUACAGAAAGUGAAGAACAACACAUUAAAUUGUAUCGUUCAGUUUUAUUAUUUGUAUUACACCUACUUUUAUACUUAUGCCUAUGGUUUUACAAUUUUAUCUAAAUUAUCAAUUGUAUAUAACAAAAAAUAAACAAUAAAUCAACAUG